GUGAGCGGCGGACGGGUUAGUAACGCGUGGGAACAUACCCUUUUCUACGGAAUAGCCUCGGGAAACUGAGAGUAAUACCGUAUAAGCCCUUCGGGGGAAAGAUUUAUCGGGAAAGGAUUGGCCCGCGUUAGAUUAGAUAGUUGGUGGGGUAAUGGCCUACCAAGUCUACGAUCUAUAGCUGGUUUUAGAGGAUGAUCAGCAACACUGGGACUGAGACACGGCCCAGACUCCUACGGGAGGCAGCAGUGGGGAAUCUUAGACAAUGGGCGCAAGCCUGAUCUAGCCAUGCCGCGUGUGUGAUGAAGGUCUUAGGAUCGUAAAGCACUUUCGCCAGGGAUGAUAAUGACAGUACCUGGUAAAGAAACCCCGGCUAACUCCGUGCCAGCAGCCGCGGUAAUACGGAGGGGGUUAGCGUUGUUCGGAAUUACUGGGCGUAAAGCGUACGUAGGC
rnacentral:rRNA from 1 species